rnacentral:rRNA from 1 species
UACGAAGGGGGCUAGCGUUGCUCGGAAUUACUGGGCGUAAAGCGCACGUAGGCGGCUUUCUAAGUCGGGGGUGAAAUCCUGGAGCUCAACUCCAGAACUGCCUUCGAUACUGGAAAGCUCGAGUCCGGGAGAGGUGAGUGGAAUUCCCAGUGUAGAGGUGAAAUUCGUAGAUAUUGGGAAGAACACCAGUGGCGAAGGCGGCUAACUGGUCCGGUACUGACGCUGAGGUGCGAAAGCGUGGGGAGCAAACAGG